AGAUGUGUAGCUCAGCAGGGAGAGCAGUAGACUCCAAAUCUGCAGGUCAGAGGUUCGAUUCCUCUUGUAUCUG
rfam:Naegleria gruberi genomic scaffold NAEGRscaffold_67, whole genome shotgun sequence.